CCAUCGAUAGCCCACUUCUCUAUGAUAGCAGGUAAUGGGUUACACCAAAACAUGUCAGUAGAGCAUGAGACUCUUAAUCUCAGGGUUGUGGGUUUGAGCCCCACAUUGGGUGAA